GAUGAACGCUGGCGGCGUGCCUAAUACAUGCAAGUCGAGCGAACAGACGAGGAGCUUGCUCCUCUGACGUUAGCGGCGGACGGGUGAGUAACACGUGGAUAACCUACCUAUAAGACUGGGAUAACUUCGGGAAACCGGAGCUAAUACCGGAUAAUAUAUUGAACCGCAUGGUUCAAUAGUUAAAGACGGUUUUGCUGUCACUUAUAGAUGGAUCCGCGCCGCAUUAGCUAGUUGGUAAGGUAACGGCUUACCAAGGCAACGAUGCGUAGCCGACCUGAGAGGGUGAUCGGACACACUGGAACUGAGACACGGUCCAGACUCCUACGGGAGGCAGCAGUAGGGAAUCUUCCGCAAUGGGCGAAAGCCUGACGGAGCAACGCCGCGUGAGUGAUGAAGGUCUUCGGAUCGUAAAACUCUGUUAUUAGGGAAGAAUAAAUGUGUAAGUAACUAUGCACGUCUUGACGGUACCUAAUAAGAAAGCCACGGCUAACUACGUG
rnacentral:rRNA from 1 species